rnacentral:rRNA from 1 species
UGGGGAAUCUUGCGCAAUGGGCGAAAGCCUGACGCAGCAACGCCGCGUGGGGGAUGAAGGCUCUCGGGUUGUAAACCCCUUUCAGCAGGGACGAAAUUGACGGUACCUGAAGAAGAAGCCCCGGCCAACUACGUGCCAGCAGCCGCGGUGACACGUAGGGGGCGAGCGUUGUCCGGAAUUAUUGGGCGUAAAGAGCUCGUAGGCGGUUUAGUAAGUCAGAUGUGAAAGGUUGGGGCUCAACCCUAAGACUGCAUCCGAUACUGCUAUGACUAGAGUCCGGUAGAGGAGUGUGGAAUUCCUGGUGUAGCGGUGAAAUGCGCAGAUAUCAGGAGGAACACCGACGGCGAAGGCAGCACUCUGGGCCGGUACUGACGCUCAGGAGCGAAAGCGUGGGUAGCAAACAGG